GACGAACGCUGGCGGCGUGCUUAACACAUGCAAGUCGAACGAUGAAGAAGAGCUUGCUCUUCGGAUUAGUGGCGAACGGGUGAGUAACACGUGACUAACCUGCCCCUUUCUCUGGGAUAACGCUCCGAAAGGAGUGCUAAUACCGGAUACUCACAUCGAGGCACAUGCCUUGAUGUGGAAAGUUUUUCGGAAAGGGAUGGAGUCGCGGCCUAUCAGCUUGUUGGUGAGGUAACGGCUCACCAAGGCGACGACGGGUAGCCGGCCUGAGAGGGCGACCGGCCACACGGGGACUGGGACACGGCCCAGACUCCUACGGGAGGCAGCAGUGGGGAAUAUUGCACAAUGGGCGAAAGCCUGAUGCAGCGACGCCGCGUGAGGGAUAAAGGUCUUCGGAUUGUAAACCUCUUUCAGUAGGGACGAAGCGAAAGUGACGGUACCUAAAGAAGAAGCACCGGCUAACUACGUGCCAGCCGCCGCGGUAA
rnacentral:rRNA from 1 species